AGAUUGAAAGCGAGUUAAAGGUAUAUUAAACGGAGGGAUAUUUAAACUUGGGUAAUCUUUAAACUUAUUCGGAAAAUUUGCCGUUUUAAAUCGCUGGUUUGGUCAACUUGAACAGGAUUACAGAAAAUUGUACAGGUAUUCCGUUUUUCAACAUUAACCUCAAAAAGAAAAUGUAAAAAAACAGUAAAACUUCAUGAGGUUCGAACAAUGCUUAAUAUUAUUAAAUGAUAAGUUAAGGUUCCUUAUAAACCAUAUGAAAUGGCUUCAUUCCCUCCUGACCCUAAAUUCAUUCUAAAAGGAGAAAUGGGACUUGUUCACUGCUUUAAUUUUUCUCCUACAAACAGUAUUAAUGAAACCACUUAUUUGUAUGUGGGUAAUGAAGAUGGGGAAGUAUUUGUUUGGAAUCUGAUCACGAAGAAAUUAUAUUUGAAACAGAAAUUGGGAUCCUCCAUACAAACCAUACAUUUUCAUGAUACCAUUGUGAUAAUUCAAGAAAAAGAUGGUAAAAUUAAACUAUACAAACUACAAAAUGAUAAUUUUCUACAAAUCCAUGAAACCAUCACAACUCAAGGGACGUUUUGCAAAAGUAUAAUGGUUGACCAUUUGUUAUUUACGGCUGGAGAAAAAGGUGUAGAAAAAUACAAUAUUAACACCAUGAAGAAAGAGAAUAGUUUUAUUCUUGAUACUGAGAAAAACUUUGGAAUGCUAAUGUGUUUAACUGAAGUUGUAAAAGAUUCUGGGAUACAUAUUUUGGCAUUGUAUGAAACUGGUAAUGCAGUUCUUUGGAAUACUGCCACUUCUAGUGUAGUAGAUGAACUUUUAUUUCAAGUGCAACCCUUGUCUGUAACAUUUAACAAAAUUAGAGGAAGAGGUAUUGUAGUGGGAGCUUCUAAUACAAUUCAGGUUUUCGAAGUGGUUUACCUUGGUAUGGGUGGAACAAGAAUCAUUUAUGAAAUACAAAUACCGAGAAGUCCUAAUUUAACAGUAGCAAAAAGUAGGACUGAUGGUCUAGUGUUUGUGAUUGGUGGAUCUGAUGGAAAAUUGCGAUAUUUCUCUUGGAAAACUUUCAACCUUUUGGCUGUAUUAACAGAGCAUACUGUCUCAAUAUCUGAUAUUCAAUUUAUUCCCCAAAAAAUUCCACAUUGUCAUGAUAGGGCAAUGGCUGCUUCUAGCAUUGAUGGUGCUAUCAGUUUUUGGGAAAUUUAUUGAAUAAUGGUUUUUUUCUUUAAGAGGGAAUUUAUAAGUUGAAUUUUAUAAUUAAAAUCAGUGUGGAAAAUAUAAAUAAAAAACAAGAUACUUAUUGACUUGAUUUUAAUCAUAUUUAUUACAUCAAAAAGUAUAAAUGAAAUGUGAAAAAAAGACUACAUGCAGUUGUAAAUAUUGAAUAACCAAAUGAGAAUGAACAAAGAAGGCGGACAGGGCUACUAUCAAUUUCAUUUGAAGCUAUUUCUUAUGAUCCAAGCAAUGCCAACCAUUCAUAUUCUGCAAUUGUUUUAUAGCUCGUCAUUAAUCUAUUUUUGCAUUAUCUUGAUCUGUAGAAGCAAUUUGGAAAUGUUCAUUAGAAGAUGGCAACCCUUUUCUUUGCUAAAUAUUUUGUUGCAGUUUCUAGAAAUUCAUUAUAGAAUGAAAAUUCUAACAAAUACAUCAAGCUCAAAGAUUAUAAAAUGACAAACAAAAAUGCCAUCAAUAAAACCCCAAACCAAUGCAUAUGUUGAAUUCAGAAGUGAAAAAUAUACUAAGUUUUCACUCUUUCAAUGAUUAUUUUAUUAUUUUGGAACAUAAAAUCUAAGGAAAUCUAUAUACACAUAGUAUAUAAAAUAAUCUUUACGGCAAGUUCCAAGCCUCAAUAGCUCCAUAAAAUAUUCAGUAAUUUCUUGUUCAACAACAUUAUUGUACAAUAUUUCCUUAGUACAUCCAAAAACACAUAACACUUAAUGAUGAAUCUGGAAUUCACUAAAAAUUAAAUACAAUGAUAUAUCAACUUCUUUGUUUCCUUGUCAACUAGUGCUUUUUUAUUAGUAUACAAUCAUUUCCAUUGCAUCACAGUGUUUCUUAGUACUUAAACCUACUCAGAUUUAUAUAAUCUCGAUUUUUUUAGUUUUAUUAAGUCUAUCCUUCAAGUUGUAGUUCAGUGUUUUUUUGGUUCAUCAAUGGCGGCUUCAAUAUUUCAAUGAAUUCAAUUGAUUUUUCUCUAGUAUACCAUCAAAAUAGUACUAUAAGUUCAGUAGUUUGUUUAAAUAGCAACCAAAUUUUUUAUAUUUGGUCAUAGUAAAGCAGUAAAUCAUUUUGUCAUGAAAGAUAAAAAGAUUAUUUGAUAUUUUAUCUGAAUUUUUAUUUAACAAUGUCUGGUUAACAUUUAUAUGACCAAUAUGAAAGAAUAUAACAAUAUACUACUUUCAAUUGAUGUGGACACUCUUUAGGUCUUGUUUAAUAACUUUGAGAGGUUUAAAUUUAUUUUCUAUUUCACUGACAGAUGAUCUUGCAUUAAAUUAAAUAUUUUAUAAUAGUAUCAUCCAUCAUCUUCCAGAAUGAUAUCGAGUAACAGAAAAUUAAUUUAAAUUUUGGUGACUGCAUCAUAAGUAAAAUGGAAUUUUAAAGGUGAUACAUAUAUGAAUUGUCCCCAAAAUGAAUGUAAUUUGUAUAUGACCAUUAAAUUAAAAACAUCAACAAAUCUUACAGUGCUGUUUAGAUUCCUUCAAUGAAAUGGUGCUUGUAGAAAGCUUAGUUCAUGUUUUGAUAAUUUAUGUUUUGCUGAACCCAUUGUCUAACUCUUUAUUUGUCAAUUCUAACUUUCGAAGAAG